UACGGGGGGGGCAAGCGUUGUUCGGAAUUACUGGGCGUAAAGCGCACGUAGGCGGCUUUGUAAGUUAGGGGUGAAAGCCUGGAGCUCAACUUCAGAAUUGCCCUUAAGACUGCAUCGCUUGAAUCCAGGAGAGGUGAGUGGAAUUCCGAGUGUAGAGGUGAAAUUCGUAGAUAUUCGGAAGAACACCAGUGGCGAAGGCGGCUCACUGGACUGGUAUUGACGCUGAGGUGCGAAAGCGUGGGGAGCAAACAGG
rnacentral:rRNA from 1 species